rnacentral:rRNA from 1 species
UACGUAGGGGGCAAGCGUUGUCCGGAAUUAUUGGGCGUAAAGAGCUCGUAGGCGGUUUGUCGCGUCUGCUGUGAAAACUCAGGGCUUAACCCUGAGCCUGCAGUGGGUACGGGCAGACUAGAGUGUGGUAGGGGAGAUCGGAAUUCCUGGUGUAGCGGUGGAAUGCGCAGAUAUCAGGAGGAACACCGGUGGCGAAGGCGGAUCUCUGGGCCAUAACUGACGCUGAGAUACGAAAGCGUGGGGAGCAAACAGG